CACGUAGGCACCAAGCGUUGUCCGGAUUUAUUGGGCGUAAAGAGCUCGUAGGCGGUUCAGUAAGUCGGGUGUGAAAACUCUGGGCUCAACCCAGAGACGCCACCCGAUACUGCUGUGACUUGAGUACGGUAGGGGAGUGGGGAAUUCCUGGUGUAGCGGUGAAAUGCGCAGAUAUCAGGGGGAACACCGGCGGCGAAGGCGGCACUCUGGGCCGGUACUGACGCUGAGGAGCGAAAGCGUGGGUAGCAAACAGG
rnacentral:rRNA from 1 species